GGGGGGGGGGGACUCUGUGGGGAAACCGUCAUCAUCAUCAUCAUCAUCGUUGUUUUUAGUCUCGGACUCAAACAUGGAAGGUGGCCUUUGAUCUUCCUCACCGGAGACUUAAACUCACCUGGAAAUGAGAAUCGGGACCCUAAAACAGGAUAAACUGCCUGGAACAAUCCUCUAACCUCUACCUACCACUAACCACCUGCCAGUAGUGACCCUCACUGUGUUUCCAAGUACUCAGUCGCUCAUCUGCUUCCCAGCUUAUAUAUUCACCCAGUCUCAUCUGCCUGUUCCCGGUUCUGUUUGAGCUCACUGAUCUGGUGCCAAAAGCAAACUAUUUCAUCAUUUAAACCGCUCUGACUCUCACUUCUGUGUUUGAGCCCGUAUUUCUGUGUGCAUGGCUGUUACAGUUUUUACCAACUGCUUACACACAAAAUAUUUUCAUGUCACACGAUUUUUGAAACCUCUCACUCAAAGUGCAAAACUACACCCCAAAUCUUCAAAACCAUACGUUAUUUCUCAGCCUUUGACUCAGUUUUCAAUUGCAUAAAACACUUUUUUUCAAAACACACUACACACAAUUCUCUACCUGCUGCUUUAGUGGGCUUAUAAAUAGGUCAAAAGUCAGAUUACCUGGUUUGAACAAUGGAUGCUAACAAUGAACAGAGAGGAAGAGGCAGGGGACAACGAGGACAAAUACCAAGAGGAGGAAGAGGAGGAAGAAGAGGAAGAAGAGGAGGAGGAGGUGGAAGAAGAGGAGGAGGAAGAAGAGGAGGAAGAGGACGAGGGCAAAUAAGAGAAGGAAGGAGAGCCAUCUCUGAUGAGAUUAGGGCAACACUUGUUGAUCGUGUAAUCAACCACGGUUUGACCAUGAGAGAGGCUGGACUGAGAGUCCAGCCCAACUUGAGUCGAUUUACAGUGGCGUCCAUAAUUCGAACCUUCAGAAAUGAGAACAGCCUGUCGACCAUACAACGCAUCCUGCAACGGCACCAAGUGAUGAAACAACUUUAUAAGGUGCCAUUUGAGAGAAACUCAAGUCAGACCCAGUCAAGAAUCUGUGACAUGACUUUGUAGAGGUUGGAUACGUCAUGCUAGGAGAUACUUCCCUCGAUGUUUGGCAAGAGGAAACGUAUCUUGUGAUGUGGACUAAGUAUUGUGGCCAGACCCUGCUCGGAGAAGAGAUGAAGCUUAGCACUGGGGACUGCACCCCUCUCCCCCCCUGCCAAUUCCUCGACCGGGACCCCACAUACAAUUUACUGUAUUCUACUGUAAAGAAUAUACUUUUGGUUUACAUGUUUAUAGUUUUAUUGUAUGCUAAUGUAUACAACAGUAAUGUUUGGC
ensembl:lncRNA